GAUCUUUUCCCAUGGGCAAUAAUAUGUUACUGUUUAAAUGUCGGGUUAUCUCGACUAUGGCGAUAAACGCUGUACGAAAUAGGCGGAACGGACCCGGGGGCGGUACCCGGCACCUCCACCAGUUAUGGGGGUGAAAUAGGAUCGACGUACGUUGAAGGGUGCAGUUUUUGCUCGGCAUGGUACCACCGUCAUCGGGCUACAAUGGUAAAUGCAAACGCAAACCAAAAUGAAGUCAGCCUUACGGCUGACAACGAGAACAACCUUUUUGCAGCAGCUGCAGCAGCCUAAGCAAUAAGGUUCUUCCAAGCGGUUGGGGGGGCGCCGGGCAACAGAAGCCCCCCGCU
rnacentral:tmRNA from 1 species